AACGAACGCUGGCGGCAGGCUUAACACAUGCAAGUCGAGCGCCCCGCAAGGGGAGCGGCAGACGGGUGAGUAACGCGUGGGAAUCUACCCAUCUCUACGGAAUAACGCAUGGAAACGUGUGCUAAUACCGUAUACGUCCCUCGGGAGAAAGAUUUAUCGGAGAUGGAUGAGCCCGCGUUGGAUUAGCUAGUUGGUGGGGUAAAGGCCUACCAAGGCGACGAUCCAUAGCUGGUCUGAGAGGAUGAUCAGCCACACUGGGACUGAGACACGGCCCAGAAUCCUACGGGAGGCAGCAGUGGGGAAGAUGGGACAAUGGGCGCAAGCCUGUUCCAGCCAUGCCGCGUGAGUGAUGAAGGACCUAGGGUUGUAAAGCUCUUUCACCGGUGAAGAUAAUGACGGUAACCGGAGAAGAAGCCCCGGCUAACUUCGUGCCAGCCGCCGCUGUAACAC
rnacentral:rRNA from 1 species